GAAAAGCGAGCCAGGAAAUGGCUGGGCGAGGGUCGUGACCUCCAAGUCUUUCCGAGCCUGCGUCUACGACAUUCCCUACAGACGGUGCACACGCUCAGUUUUUGGGUGGAACACCCCCAGGACACGACAAGAUCAUCGGGACUCUGGGGAAAGUGAUAUCACGGAGGCCUAAAGUCGUUGACUUCUCAGCUCCAGUUUCCACGACCCCUCGGAAGCGGCCUUGCCGUAGUAGAACCACAGGGUGACACAGCCUACUCCACAGACUGCAGGGGAAGGGGCCGGUCAAAAGCCAGAAGUCCCGCCUUCUCUACGAAGCGGUCCAGAAAACGACUCUCAGUCUAUCAUUGGUCCAGCGUCCCUUUGGCCCACCCACUAAUGCUCUUCUGGGUUUUCA
rnacentral:lncRNA from 1 species